UAAAGAGAAACAAAGGCUAAAGGCGCGACAUCGUGUCGCAGCGCCCUCACUAGCACGUCGUGUGUA
rnacentral:sRNA from 1 species